rnacentral:tRNA from 1 species
GAAAAACUUAGUUAAAUUAUAACAUUAACUUGUCAAGUUAAAAUUACUAAAUUAGUUGUUUGU